AUUGAACGCUGGCGGCAGGCCUAACACAUGCAAGUCGAGCGUGUGGCGUACGGGCGAGUAAUGCCUGGGAAUUGCCCAGCCGAGGGGGAUAACAGUUGGAAACGACUGCUAAUACCGUAUCCGACUUGAUCGCCCAGGUGGGAUUAGCUAGUUGGUGAGGUAAUGGCUCACCAAGGCGACGACCCCUAGCUGGUUUGAGAGGAUGAUCAGCCACACUGGAACUGAGACACGGUCCAGACUCCUACGGGAGGCAGCAGUGGGGAAUAUUGCGCAAUGGGGGAAACCCUGAUGCAGCCAUGCCGCGUGUGUGAAGAAGGCCUUCGGGUUGUAAAGCACUUUCAGCGAGGAGGCGUUACUCGCAGAAGAAGCAGCGGCUAACUCAGUGCCAACAGCCGCGGUAAUAC
rnacentral:rRNA from 1 species